rnacentral:rRNA from 1 species
AUGAAGGCAAAUGUGCAAGGAGCAGCAAAGUUACAACAGAUUUUAGCUUUGUAUAUGAGGAGCAAACUGGCCAAAAAAAUCAACAAGGACAAAUCCACUGCCAUCUUUAGUAAGGGGACAAGUGCGGCAACAAAAGCGGGUGUUCUUGUUAGUUUGGGUAUUGCAACAGAAUCACAUAACCAGAGGUACUUGGGCCUCCCGGUACAUAUCGGUGCAUCCAGAAGCAAAGAGUUUGAAUGUCUGAAGCAGAGAAUAUGGCAGAGGAUUCAAGGAUGGAAGGAAAAGUUACUACCGAAAGCAGGGAAAGAGGUGCUCAUAAAGGCGGUUGCAUACGCGAUCCCAACCUAUGCCAUGUCGUGCUUUGAUCUCACUAAGCAAGUUUGCGAAGAAAUCAGUGCACUAAUUGCGCGGUUUUGGUGGAGUCAGCAAGAUAAAAUGAACAAAUGCCAUUGGGUCAGUUGGGAGAAGAUGACUAGAUCAAAGAAGGAUGGUGGACUUGGCUUCGUGACUUGCAUAUUUUCAACAUGGCAAUGCUAG